GGGUGCACCAGGCGCGAAAACUUUACCCUGCUGGAAACAGCGAUAGGGGGACUUUGAGUGCCAGGAUACAAUUCUGGCUGUCGUCGUGCCUAAAAAGCACGGCAUAGCAAGGGCCGGGCAAGACCGGUGCCAGCCGCCGCGGUAACACCGGCGGCUCGAGUGGUAACCGCUAUUAUUGGGUCUAAAGGGUCUGUAGCCGGCUGAAAAAGUCUCUUGGGAAAUCUGGCUGCUCAACAGUCAGGCUUUCAGGAGAUACUCUUCGGCUCGAGACCGGGAGAGGUGAGAGGUACUUCAUGGGUAGGGGUGAAAUCUUGUAAUCCUUGAAGGACCACCAGUGGCGAAGGCGUCUCACCAGAACGGAUCUGACGGCAAGGGACGAAAGCUAGGGGCACGAACCGGAUUAGAUACCCGGGUAGUCCUAGCCGUAAACGAUACUCGCUAGGUGUCGGCCACGGUGCGACCGUGGUCGGUGCCGUAGGGAAGCCGUGAAGCGAGCCACCUGGGAAGUACGGCCGCAAGGCUGAAACUUAAAGGAAUUGGCGGGGGAGCAC
rnacentral:rRNA from 1 species